rnacentral:rRNA from 1 species
UACAGGGGGUGCAAACGUUUGCUCGGAAUUAUUGGGCGUAAAGAGCUCGUAGGCGGUUUGGCAAGUCGGGUGUGAAAACUCCGGGCUCAACUCGGAGACGCCACUCGAUACUGCCAUGACUCGAGUCCGGUAGGGGAGUGCGGAAUUCCUGGUGUAGCGGUGAAAUGCGCAGAUAUCAGGAGGAACACCGGUGGCGAAGGCGGCACUCUGGGCCGGUACUGACGCUGAGGAGCGAAAGCGUGGGGAGCGAACAGG